rnacentral:rRNA from 1 species
UGGGGAAUUUUGCACAAUGGGGGAAACCCUGAUGCAGCGACGCCGCGUGAUUUAGAAGGCCUUCGGGUUGUAAAAAUCUUUUCUAUGGGAAGAAAAUGACAGUACCAUAGGAAUAAGGACCGGCUAAUUACGUGCCAGCAGCCGCGGUAAUACGUAAGGUCCGAGCGUUGUCCGGAAUCAUUGGGCGUAAAGGGUACGUAGGCGGGUAAGCAAGUUACAAGUGAAAUCCUAUAGCUCAACUAUAGUAAGCUUUUAAAACUGCUCAUCUUGAGGUAUGGAAGGGAAAGUGGAAUUCCUAGUGUAGCGGUGAAAUGCGCAGAUAUUAGAAGGAAUACCGGUGGCGAAGGCGACUUUCUGGCCAUAACCUGACGCUGAGGUACGAAAGCGUGGGUAGCAAACAGG